UACGAAGGGGGCUAGCGUUGUUCGGAAUUACUGGGCGUAAAGCGCGCGCAGGCGGCUAUCCAAGUCAGUGGUGAAAGCCCGGAGCUCAACUCCGGAAUUGCCAUUGAAACUGUGAGACUGGAGUACGAGAGAGGUGAGUGGAAUUCCCAGUGUAGAGGUGAAAUUCGUAGAUAUUGGGAAGAACACCGGUGGCGAAGGCGGCUCACUGGCUCGUAACUGACGCUCAGGCGCGACAGCGUGGGGAUCAAACAGG
rnacentral:rRNA from 1 species